rnacentral:lncRNA from 10 species
AUCUGGACUGGCUUAUGGAUAUAGAGAAAAUGUAGGGGAUAGAUGAGCACGGGAAAUGUCUCCGUGGGGCAAAAUUCACGAAAUUCAGAUUGUUGGACACUCUCCAGGACAAAAGGUCUAGAUUCUUCAAAAACAACAACAUCGAAAAAAAAAAACUGCCAGAAAGAAAAAAUACAGAGGGAGAAGAGGAAGAAACAGGCCCAGAGAAGUUGGGUAACUCAUCAAAGGUCACAGAGCUAAGAGUGGCAGAGUCAGGCCUGGAGCCCAGGAAGUCUGGUUUCGAAUUUCAUGCUUCUAACCUGAGCACUGUACUGCUUGGUGGAGUUCUCUGCUAGUCCUACCUUUCAGGCAGAGGUGAUGCAGCAAGAAAGCUGCCACCAGAUGCAGCCCCUUGAUCUCGGACUGCCCAGCCUCUAGAACUGAGUUGAAGAGCAAUUCCCUCCAGUUUCCAUUAGAAAUGCUUCUUCUUCCAUAUCAAAUAUUGUGAGAUAGCCUGAAACACCUUUCAACACUUUACUACCCUUCUCCAAAAUUCAACAGAUAUGAUUUCCACGGACUUUACUCACAGGGGCUUCAGUAGAAGAGGAAGAGGCUUGGGUUUA